UACAUGUGGGGCAAGCGUUGUUCGGAAUUACUGGGCAUAAAGGGUGCGUAGGCGGCAUGUUAAGUCAUUGGUGAAAUCUCCGGGCUCAACCCGGAAACUGCCAUUGAUACUAUUAGUCUUGAAUUUUGUUGAGGUAGGCGGAAUAAGUCAUGUAGCGGUGAAAUGCAUAGAUAUGACUUAGAACACCAAUUGCGAAGGCAGCUUGCUAAACAAAUAUUGACGCUGAGGCACGAAAGCGUGGGGAUCAAACAGG
rnacentral:rRNA from 1 species